AUGUGCGGAAAUCUGUCUUCUAUUUCUUCGAACUUCUGGUGGGGCAAAACAGACGGUCACAAGAAGGUGCACUGGGUCGGAUGGGACAGAAUGUGUAUGAGAAAGCAUGAAGGGGGGCUAGGAUUUCGAGAUCCGGAAGCGUUCAACCAAGCUAUGCUAGCUAAACAGGCAUGGCGUCUGCUCCAAGUGCCGGAGUCGUUAUGUGGAAGGGUCCUAAGGGCUAGGUAUUACUCUGAUGGAACUAUCUUAACUGCUACAUGCCUAGAUGGUGGAUCCUUCACAUUCAGACGCAUACUACACGGACGUGAC
rnacentral:rRNA from 1 species